rnacentral:rRNA from 1 species
GACGAACGCUGGCGGCGUGCUUAACACAUGCAAGUCGAACGGAAAGGCCCUGCUUUUGUGGGGUGCUCGAGUGGCGAACGGGUGAGUAACACGUGAGUAACCUGCCCUUGACUUUGGGAUAACUUCAGGAAACUGGGGCUAAUACCGGAUAGGAGCUCCUGCUGCAUGGUGGGGGUUGGAAAGUUUCGGCGGUUGGGGAUGGACUCGCGGCUUAUCAGCUUGUUGGUGGGGUAGUGGCUUACCAAGGCUUUGACGGGUAGCCGGCCUGGGAGGGUGGCCGGCCACAUUGGGACUGAGAUACGGCCCAGUCUCCUACGGGAGGCAGCAGUCGGGAAUAUUGCACAAUGGGCGGAAGCCUGAUGCAGCAACGCCGCGUGCGGGAUGACGGCCUUCGGGUUGUAAACCGCUUUCGCCUGUGACGAAGCGUGAGUGACGGUAAUGGGUAAAGAAGCACCGGCUAACUACGUG